rnacentral:lncRNA from 11 species
ACAGGUUCAUUGUAUAUUGAGGAAAGGAGCUGAUGUAUGCUUCCUCGAAUGGCAAUAAUAAUAAUAAUAAUAUUAUUAUUAUUAUUAUUAUUAUUAUUAUUAUUAUUAUUAUUAUUAUUAUUAUCUUCCCUUCAGGGAGAUGGAGGUGGGAUAGAAAAAUAAAGUUGUUAUUAUUAUUAUUAAUGACAAAGACAUAGUAUGACACCACAAACGAGAUCUAUAUGCUGGAUUUCGUAUCACAAAAUCACAAGUCAAACAUCAUUAUUAUUAUUAUUAUUAAUAUUAUGUAUACCCUGCCUUUUGCAGUUUUGGGGAUCUUGAGGCCAGUUCUACUGGGAUUUUUCUCUUCUCUGCGUCCUGACAGGUGUUCUUUCCCCCCCGGCGCAGGUGUGUGUGCUGGGCCUGCACCUGGCCAAAGAGCUGUGUGCGGCGGACGAGGAGGGCGAGGCGUGGCUGCAGGCCUCCCGGCGGGUCCCGCUCCUGCCCACCCUCUUCACCACCUUGGAGCUCAGCCUCCGCCUCAAGCAGAACCUCCACUUCACCGAAGCCGCCUUGCACCUCCUGCUCACCUUGGCCCGGACCCAGCAGGGGGCCGUGGCCGUGGCCGGAGCGGGCCUCAUGCAGAGCCUCUGCCUUCCCCUCCUGAGCGUCUACCAGCUGAGCAGCAACGGGGCCGGGCAGGUGCCCCCGUCCUCUCGGAAGUCCCAGGACGCCCCUUCGUGGCCGGGCGUCUACCGCCUUUCCGUCUCCUUGAUGGAGCGCCUUCUGAAGACGCUGCGCUACAACUUCCUCACCGAUGCCUUGGACUUUGUGGGCGUCCAUCAGGAGCGCAUCCUCCAGUGCCUGAACGCCGUCCGGACGGUGCCGAGCCUGGCCUGCCUGGAAGAGGCUGACCACACCGUGGGAUUCCUCCUCCAGCUUUCCAACUUCACCAAGGAAUGGCACUUCCACCUGCCCCAGCUCCUUAGGGAUGUCCAGGUAUGGAAAAAGGGAGAAAGGGGUUGGACUGGAUGGUCUUUGGGAAGCCCCUCCGAGCUAUCUACACCCCUGUCUCUCUGAACCUGCUCAAUGUUUACGAGGUUGGAUGGCCAUCUGCCGGGAGGGAUCGGAUUCUCUUUUUUUCUUUCUAACGGUCCAAGGCUUCAGUCUUACCUUUUCCCAGAAUAUACCAUAUAUACUCAAGUAUAAACCGAGAUUUUCAGUCCUUUUUUAGGGCUGAAAAAGACCCCUUUGGCUUAUACUUGAGUGAGUGUCCUGGUCGGCUUAUAUUCAGGUCGGCUUAUACUCGAGUAUAUACAUAUAUUAUUUUUCUCUCUAUUAUUAUUGUUAUUACAUGUAUUAUUUUAUUCUAUGUAUUAUUAUUAUUAUUAUUAUUACAUUUAUUAUUUUACUCUAUUAUUAUUACAUUUAUUUGUUUCUACAUCCAAUUUGUUACAUCCAAUUCUGUGGAACUCAUUGCCUCCAUAUGUUAGAGCAAUGUCGGAGUUGCGACCUUUUGUAAAAGCGCUCAAGACUUGGCUGUUUGGUUGUGCAUUUAAGUAAAUCAGAUCAAAUUUGCCAAAUAGUCACUGUUGAAUGUUUUUAUGUUGAAUGUUUUUAUACUGUGGAAUGAUACUUUAAAUUGUAAGUCGCUCGGAGCACUCGGGUGGAGAGCGACUCAUUAAGAAAUAAAGUGAAGUGAAGUGAAGAAGUGAUUUAUUAUUUUACUCUUGUCAUUAUUACAUUUAUUAUUUUAUACUAUUAUUAUUACAUUUAUUAUUUUACUCUAUUAUUACAUUUAUUAUUUUAUUCUAUCAUUAUUACAUUUAUUAUUUUACUCUAUUAUUACAUUUAUUAUUUUACUCUAUUAUUAUUACAUUUAUUAUUUUACUCUUGUCAUCAUUAUUACAUUUAUUAUUUUACUCUAUUAUUAUUACAUUUAUUAUUUUACUCUUGUCAUCAUUAUUACAUUUAUUAUUUUACUCUAUUAUUAUUAUUAUUAUUAUUAUUACAUUUAUUAUUUUACUCUAAAGUCAUUAUUAUUGCAUUUAUUAUUUUAUUCGAUCUUUAGCAGCAUUGAAGUUAUCGGCUAUGA